UACGGGUAGGGCAAGCGUUGUUCGGAUUUACUGGGCGUAAAGGGCGCGUAGGCGGCGCAACAAGUCACUUGUGAAAUCUCCGGGCUUAACCCGGAGCGGCCAAGUGAUACUGUCGUGCUAGAGUGCGGAAGGGGCUACUGGAAUUCUCGGUGUAGCGGUGAAAUGCGUAGAUAUCGAGAGGAACACCUGCGGCGAAGGCGGGUAGCUGGGCCGACACUGACGCUGAUGCGCGAAGCCAGGGAGCGAACGGG
rnacentral:rRNA from 1 species